ACCUGGGUGGCUCAGUCAGUUGAGCAUCUGACUUCGGCUCAGGUCAUGACACCGUUUGUGAGUUCCAGCCUCGCCUCGGGCU
rnacentral:tRNA from 1 species